GACGAACGCUGGCGGCGUGCUUAACACAUGCAAGUCGAGCGGAAAGGCCACUUCGGUGGUACUCGAGCGGCGAACGGGUGAGUAACACGUGAGUAAUCUGCCCUUGGCUUCGGGAUAGCCACCGGAAACGGUGAUUAAUACCGGAUAUGACCACUUCGUGCAUGCGAUGGUGGUGGAAAGUUUUUCGGCCAGGGAUGUGCUCGCGGCCUAUCAGCUUGAUGGUGAGGUAAUGGCUCACCAUGGCUUCGACGGGUAGCCGGCCUGAGAGGGUGACCGGUCACACUGGGACUGAGACACGGCCCAGACUCCUACGGGAGGCAGCAGUGGGGAAUAUUGGACAAUGGGCGGAAGCCUGAUCCAGCAACGCCGCGUGAGGGAUGACGGCCUUCGGGUUGUAAACCUCUUUCGGUAGGGACGAAGCGCAAGUGACGGUACCUACUAAAGAAGCACCGGCCAACUACGUGCCAGCAGCCGCCGUAACAC
rnacentral:rRNA from 1 species